CAUGAAGACUCAGGAUCAACUAGAGACGCAGAGCCAGAACAAAAGAAUCAAGAUCACAAAAGCAGAAGCCACAGAAACAAUGUAAACAACUCUACCAUGUCAGAGGUUCACAAUAAUCCUCACACAGGGUCAUUUGCUGAGCUGCAGUAAGCCAAAGGUGACAUCCUGUGACACUCUAAAACAAUAGGUCAGACUCUGUCUCUCCUCUCUGUUCGGUUGACUGUUUGACGCAGCUGCCUUGAUCAGGAUGAACACUGUGAUCCAUUCUCUAAGUAACCCAAGGUCCAGAUGAUCUGUAUUUUGUUUCUUUACAGACAGACUGACUGUCUGUCUUUUCUGUGUUCUUUUUAUUAUUUCUGCUGUUUAGUCUUCUUUGUGUGUUUUGUAUAUACAGAUAUUGUUCCGCUAUGUGAUGUUCAUUGUGUUUUGUUUUCGAUGAGUAAUAAUGCCUUUUUUUAUUUGUGAAAUGGGGGAGGUCUCUAAAUAAACCUUUCACUCUUAA